GGGAAACAAACGAACUUGAUGCACCAGGAAGAAGAAGAUUAAGAUGGGUUCAAAAAUAUUUCAUGAUUUAUAACUAUUGCACUGAUUUGAAACGUUUCCCUCAAGGUGUUCCACCAGAGUGUAAACGCCCAAGGUUCUAAAAUCAAACCUGUUCCACCAGAGUGUAAACGCCCAGGGUUCUAAAAUCAAACCUCUCCUCUUUUCCAUGUAAUAUAUUCUUUUUUUCACUACUUUCUUACUAUGUAUUCAAGUUGAAUAAGUUAUUAUUAUUAUUAUUAUUCUUUUUAUGUAUUUUUAUUUCUCUUUGUUGCUUCUUAAAUCAUCUUGAAAAUAGAUGUAAAUUCCCUGUUUCUGAUAAUAAAAUUUUCCUCUUUUUGAGUAUUUAAUAUUCAUUCAACUUCAAAGUAAUUCUUCCCCUACCACAGAGGUAAUCUCCUUUCAAGAUAAAUUGAAUGACAUAGAAAUUAUUAAGAUAUUUUUAAUAUGAUGCAGUGCUUUCAUACAAUCUGUUUCUAACAACUCAUCACAAUAAUCAUAUUCUCAAAUUUGCUCAACACAAUCGCCUCGCCUCAUAAACACGAGCCAGAUGCAUCCGGAUUGUAAUCUAAAAACAUUAAUAGCCGACUGAAAUGUAGAUUGAAAUGCUUUAGGAAGGAAAAAAGAAACUCCACUUUUUUAAUCUAAAUUUUAAUUUUACCAAUUUUUAAGUUGAUUUCUGGUUUCGAUUUCUUGUUGGAACAAUAAAUGUAAUUCAAUAAUCUUUAUAUCAGCAAGUGGGAAUUAAUGACAAAUUUUAAAAAUGAGUACCAAGAUUUUUUAUUUAAUAAUAAUAUAAAUUUUUUUCUUAGUAAUUAUGGGGCAGAAGGUCGUACGAAUUAUGGGGCAAAUUUAUGGAACUAAAGAGCUUUUGUUUUUAUGUGUGUCAAAGGAUAAGGCUUUCCUGUCCUGAGGGAAGUGAAAUAGGAUCACGAUGCAAUGCAUGCACCAGUUUUCACCAACUUUAUUAUUAUUAAAUUAGGGGUAAAUUAUCAUUUAGUCUCUAAAUUUAAUACUUUCUUCAUCUUGAUCCUUGAUCAUUAAUUUCCUAUUUUGGACGAUUUUUUUAAUUUGAUUUUUGAAAUGGCAUGUCACUCUAAUAUCAUACACAUUAUCACUCUAAAAUUUCCAAUUGAUGAUAUGUUAGAAUCUUAUGUAUUAUAUUUUAAUAGAAUCUAAAUACAAGGACUAAUUUUGAAAAAGAAAUUGUCAAAUUUCGAAAUUAAUCCCAAAAAAAUAAAGAUAUUAUUAAAUGAUAAGGAAAGGGGCUUCACCGAGUUCCAGACUGUGAAACUGCAGCUACAGUCCAAAAAUUAUAGGAUAAGCCUAGAAAAAUAGCCAUCACAUCACGUGAAGAAGGGGUGGUGUGACUCUUUUUAUAAAUUUUUGUAUACCAAUUUAGUUUUUUAAAGUCUUGUUAUAAAAUCAAUUAUAUUUUUACUCUUAUUUUAGAAAAUAAAUAAAUUAAUUUUCAUAUAUUAGAAUAAAAAGUAAAUUAAUUUUUUGUUAAAGUUUUUAUGUAUUUUGACGAAAAAAUUGGUGCCAUGUGUUCUAUAUGUUGACAUAUAUUGACUGGUUUUUAAUAGUAGAAAUAGAUGAAUUUUUUAAUAUAAUGAUCAGUUUGUUCUUUGAUCUAAAGUAUAAAAAUUAAUUUAUUAUCUAAUACAAUCUAACUCCUAGUACAAAGGUCUCAAUAAUACUUUUACUUGUUUUUUGGGUCCGUUUUAUCAUUCUUGAAAACUAAUCCUUAAUGUCAUCUUUUGGGUCCGUUUUAGUACUUGAAUUUAUAAUUAGAUUCAUUUUAAUUCUUAAAUUUAAAAAUAUAAAAAUUUGAUAAUAUGUUAAUAUUAUAUCAUAUUAUCACUUGAAAAUUAAAAUUUUAAAUAAUGAUGUGAUACAAUUGUUAGAUAUAACAAUAACUAAAUAAAUAAUUAAAAAUUCAUAAAAUUUUUAAAGAAUAAAAAAUUAUUAAAUUGGUUCAAUUACUGAUUUUUAUCCUAGUUUCAAAGUGAUUUUUAAUUCAAUUAAUUCAACCACUUUGUUCGAACUAAUAUAUCAACAAUCGAUGUUCGAUCUAAUUAAUCCAACAAAUCAAUUCAACCAUGUUCUAAUAACACUAAUCAUAUCAUUAAAUCUUAACGGGAUCCAAGUUCAAACACCAACAAUUAUAUUAUUCCCAUGUAAAAUAGUCUUAUUUUCCCAAUCAAUUUUUGGGUGCUGCCCAUUGUUUUAAAGCAAUAAAACCCAGUUAAUAAUCAUUGUUUCAAACCAAUUUGCCUGUCAUUCAUUUUUAUGUCACAAAGGGAUUAAUCCAAUUACCAAAAAAGAAAUUUUCUUUAUGAAUUAUCCAUCGAUUAAUAAUCAUAAUUUUGAGACAUCAAAAGAUAAUUGAUAGGCAAUCAAAGAAGAUCCACAUUCUUUUACAUAAUAAUAAGUAUAUACAGAACUAUAGAAAUACAAGUGAAAACCAAUUCCAUAACAAUCAUUCAAUCAUAACUGACAUGCACAAGUUUUCUUUUUCUUUGCUUCAUUUUUCCUCUCAUUCAAAUUGGAUGCUUGGUUCAAUCACAGGAUGACUUCAAAGCCAUGUGUGUACUCGAAUGCAUGAAAAUACCCAUAUCUAACACUCACACCAGGAGUAACGUUGCUUCAUAGCUAACUAUGAAAAGCAAAAAUCACAAAGAAAUCACACUAACUGCCAUUGCAAUAGUUUCCCCUGACUUUGAAGCUAUUUAUUCGAUGAAUCGGCUAUUGGAAUGACUUGUUCUUCUAAAUAACUGGCGAAUCUCACUCUUGGUCGCUGCCCACACUACAUGAACAAGAACUUAGAUUGUAAGGCAAGCAUGGAUCAAAAUGCUUAUGGACAGCAAAGUGCAAACUAUACUUACUGGCAUUCUGCAAUGGAUGUUUAGAUCAUAGUUCAUUUCGCCGAGACGGGAUUUCGCAACUUCUUCAGCUUUGGAGGCCUUUUUACAAGCUUCUUUAACCUGAAUUGAGCAUGUUGGAAAUUUAGCACAAAUUUAUAUACUUAUGUCUAGUCUAAACCAAGUAUAUGGACAAGAGUUCUUUUCAUAUUCACCACAUUGAUUAACAUGGUAGACUGAUCUUUAGCAGCACCAAAAGCAGAUUUUUCCAAAAUAUUCCGUAGGAAUGACAACUCUUUAAUCAAAUCUAAGGCCACUUCUUCAGCAUCUAGCAUCUGAUUUCUCGAGAAUUCAAAUGAUCUCUCUGCGUGAAGCCGAAAAGAAGAGCAGUUCAGACAAGUACAAAUACCUCUACAACCAGGAGGAUUUCUUUUAAGAAUUCCUUUUUUGAGACCAACAAUAGGAAUUGCUGGAGUAAUAGAGGCUUCUCCAAAGCUAUCAGCUUCAAUUUGAUUUACAUGGUUUGCACAUUUCACAAUAGACUUUAUGGCAUCCCCUUCGGUUUCUAAGGGUAACUGAUAAGACACUGGUUUAGCACUGAUGAUAGAUGACACGGAUGGUGGCUCAACCACAAGUUCGGGGUUCGUUUCUUCUAGCCUCUGGUUUGCAUCCAAUGCAGCAUUUUUACCAAGUGUUGCCUGUUCCUGUUGCAAACCGAUAGCAGUAGCUGCAGUCACUGUGAGCCUAAUACGGUCACUAUGCUCUACAUGAGAACUUUUGCAAUUGGAAGCUCCGGUGCCUGCAUCUUUGCCAGGAACACCUGAUAAAGCAAGCAUACAAGUGAAAAGGUUACAAAAAGACUCGCAAUCGAUUCUUAAAACAAUAGAAUUACGAGAAAGUGAGAAGCAUUGGAUGUGCAAGAGACGGCCUAGGAAGUAAAGAACUCACAGGAGUAAUCAUUUGCUAUGUCUAUCAAAAAUGGAAGCAAUCUUUUAUAACUGAAUGAGCCAGGUAUUUUAGAUAACUUCGGAUGCAACCGUGAAUAUGGAACCUAUUCAACAUCACAAGGCCAAUAUUAUUAGCAAAUGAGUUACCAUAGUUGAAAAAACUUGCAGCUUGAUAGCAUCUUACCAACUUGUUCUUAGGACUUGUGUCUAAGCUUUUAUCACUAGGGGUUUCGUUCAUCGACUUUUCAACAUCAGUCUUGGAUUUAAACAUGUCAGAAUCCAGUCGAGUCAUUGGAAGACAUUGUCCAUUCAAGUCUUCAAUUUGUUCCACAGCUUCACCAUCAUUUACUUCAAUCUCAGACUGCUGUAAAUCACCAUUAGAACUUGGUGGAACUUCAUUAUAAUCACCAGCUUCACACUUAUUUUCAACCAUAGACAAAGUCUGGUCCAAAACUUCUAGACUUUGAGCAUCACAAGAAGAUUCAACAUUAAUUUUUGCAACAUCAUCAUCAUCAUCAUCUGCCAACAUUUCAUCACUAGAAACAACACCACCCGAAGAGCAAUUCGAAUUCGGGUCUUCACAUUGCAACUCAAAUUUCUUAACCUCUCCAUUAAAAAGUGUCAUCAUAGAUUCAUCCAAUACCAUAUUCAACUCCUUAACAGAAUCACUAUUAUGACCCUCCAAAAAGCAAUCACUCGCCGCAGAUUUAUCACCCAAUGCUUCUUCAACAUUUGAACCCACCAUGCUCUUCUCUUCAAAAUCCUUUUCAGUUUUUUGACAAUGACCCAUUAUUGGGGACCCUGUGAAGAAUCAUAUGCAAUAAUGUUAUAAUCCCAUAGUUCCUUUUGCAACCAAAGCUUGAAAAGGUAACAAAACCAAAGUAAGGAAUUACCAGAAGAUUCUUUUUUGAUAUCCAUCAAAUAAGGAAGCAAUCUUCUAUAACUGAACGAGCCUGGCGUUUUGAAAAGCUUCUCUUGAGAACAUGGUCUACGAACCUACACGAAACCCCACAUACACAACCGCCAUUAAAAACAGAUUAAUUAACUCAAAUUAUGAACAAGAUGAACAUAAUUUUCAACAUAUAGCAAAAAAAGUACCAACCAGGACAUUACUUUAAACAAAAAAUUAAAACCUUACUGUUUUUAUUGAACAAUUGAUGCCGUUUCUGUCUUCAUUAAACCCCUUUUCUUUGCAUUCAUCAUGUAUCUUCAUGUCUUCACUUCCGUUUCUUUCAAACUCUUGCUUAACUCCAAGGAUCUCAGCAUCUGGUGGGGUAGAUUGCCCAAAUUCCUCAAAAUCCCCAUUUUCACAACCUUUUUUCUUUUCAGCCAAACAAUCCCCAGCAACCUCACUUUUCCCCAGAUUCUCGGCACCAUCCAAACAAUUAGGAAUUACCCCAUCAGUAGAAGAAGGGGAGAAGACCCGUCUUAACCGGAGAUCUUUGAUGGAUAAAUCGUACCCCACCGACGAAUCUUCAGCCAGUGAGCUUUUUUUGGGUUUUUUGAGAAAGGGUUGCGGACGUCGGUGGUUUCCUCCGCCGACGGACUGGGUUCGGGAUUUUCCCGACCGGUUGCGAUGAAUAUGGAUCUGGGAUUUGCUACGAGUUAUAGUUCCCAUUAAGGGAUGAAGAGAUGGCCGCUUCCGUUUCUUAGAGAUUCCCUUUGAGUACUCCAUCGUAAACCCUCAGAGGAACGGUGCUUGUGAGCUAGAAUGAAGAGAUUAAUGGAGUUUCGCGGGAAAAAGAGGGAUGAUAAAAUGUAUUUGAUUGCAGAGCGGGAAAACGUGUGCUAAGCUUGGCGGGAAAUAAUAUGGAUUUGGGCCUUACCAUUUAUGAACUUGCUUUCAAAAAAAGCCCAUUAUAUUUUUUUCCUCAGUCCGAAUUCGAGUUGGAUCAAAUCCUUAAACAAAAAAUAAAAUUCCCCCGAUAUUAUUUUAAGAUCAAACUUCUUACAACUCGAUUAAACCGGUGGUAAUAAAAAUUACGUGGCAUUUUAUGGAAUAAUACAAAAUAAUUUGAUUUGGCUUAUUUAUUUUUAUUUUACAAUUGAAUACAUUUUUGCACAUUCAAAAAAAAAAUUAAUAAUAUCAAUACACCCACAUGUUUAAAAAACACUAAGCUACGUUAACUUAUUUUAAGAAAUUAAGAGAAAAAUUAAUCCUCAAAAUAUAUAUUUCGAAAUUUUAAAAACUUAGAGAUGAUGAAAUUAUAAUUAAAAUUUUAACUUUUCUUAAAUGUACCUAAAUUAUUAUUUAAUAAUAAAAUAUUUUUAUUUAAAUUACUUAUAAAAAUAUUAAUAGAGUACUAAAUCGAUAUAUUUGUGUGCUUUAUUUCGAUAAACCAUAUUAUUAAUUUUGGUGCUUAUUAUUAAAUUUCUAUUGUAAAUUUAAAAUGUAAUGAUUUAGGCAUGAUAGCAAUAUGACGUACAAGAUUUUUUUUAAAAAAAUUAAGAUUAUUUUUAUCUAAAUAUUAUUUGUACUUAUAUUUAUUAAAUCUUUUAUAUUUUGUUUAGAUAAAUAUUUAAUUUUUUUUAAUUUUAGGAUUAGAACACUAAAAAUUAAUUUUCUGAAAUUUAAAGGGGAAUGACGGCGCUACUUUUGCUUCGGAAUUUCGGGCAAGGAAUAAAAAAUUCGCUUUUUCUUUUCUUUAUUUUAGUUUUAUUUUCUUUUUAAAUUCUUCUAUCAUAAGCAACUAAAUUAUUUUCUAGUUAAAGGUCGAUAAAAUUUCGGUAUUUGAAUUGUGAGAUCUAAAAUUGUACUUAAUCAUUUUCAUUUGGGCAUUCAGUCUUUUUUUUUUUUCAGUUCAAGAGAUAGAUAGGAUGGUCUCAUACUAUUGUUUUUAGUGUUGUUUUAAGAAGGAUUUUUUGUACAGUGUUGGGAACGAUACACAAUUAGUACAAUUAAUUCCGCGUGAAAUUACUUUACCAAAGAACAAGUUGGCGUGGUUCGAUUGGGAGUGUAAUUGGGUGAUGCCAUGAGAUUAAGUGAUUUGAUUUAAAUGAUCUACGGGGUUAAGAUCGUUAAUUAGAGUCAGGUUCUUCCAGUUUGCAAGGUUGUCGACGGACUAAAUCGUGAAUGUGUCUUUCUAGGGUUAUUCGUUCGGCAAGGGUACAUCAUUGGACGAUUCCCACGAUUAAUUUAUAAUUAAGGAAGAAUUGGUGGUUGAGACAUCUAUGAUUACUAUAACUGGUUUACCAGUGAGCAAGAAGACAUCCAUAAUCUGAAGAGGAAGGUAUUGUUUACAAAGUUGCCAAGAAGAAACAACCUUCGAAAUCAAAUAAGCCACCAUCUUUAAUAGCUCUUUGCAUUACUUAUAAUGUGAACCACCAUAAUUUUAAUGGCUUUUUGUACCAUCUACAAUGUGAACUACUAUCGUUGUUAACCCUAACAUUUUGUAUAAUUUACAUUUGUACUCUUUCUUUUCCCUUUACCCUUUAAUGAAACCAAAAACAUAAUAGAAGAAAGGGCUCGUGUAAGAAAUAGAAGAAUAAAUAAAUUAAAUAUAUGACUAACCAAGGUGAGCUUCAAUCAUUUUAAUUUUAUUUAUGCUUGCCUUGAGUAAAAUAGUAAGCUCUUACACUCAAAUCAAAUCAAACUUAAGGCAAAUAGAAUGAGCAAAGAUGCCUUAUUUGAACUUGAUUGAAAUCUACCUAUCUCGGUUUAUAAAUAUAGGGUUAAGUAAAAUUCGAUUCGAUUUGAAAAAUUCGAUAAAAAAUUUAAAUUUCGAAUUAAAUAGUUAAAGUUAUUUGAGUUAAUCAAGUUAUUCAGAUCAACUCGAAUAAAAAAAUUAAGUUUUUCAGUUUAACUCGAAUAUGAAUUACACAAUUCGAGUUAUCUGAAAAUCCGAAUAAAUAAAGGCAAAACUACGUCAUUUUGAUAAAUGUUUACCUAUUCUAAAGUUAAAAGUCAAAAUCAUUAAGUUAAAAGGCAAAACUAUAUAGUUUUGAUAAAUAUUUACUAAUUAAGUUAAAAGGCAAAAUUAUUAUAUUUGUUUAUGUAGUUAAUCAAUCUUGUACUCUGUCUACUAGUUAAAUAAUUGAUCCAUGUAACUAUAACAUUGAGUAUAAAUAAUAGGAUUCAUUAACUCAACUCGACUUAACUUAAAUUUUUUUUUACUCGAUUCAAUUCGGAAAAAAUUCAAAUUGAGUUCGGUUGCUAAAAUAGAAUUCAUCAACUCGACUAACUCAAAAUUUUUUAACUCAGAUUCGACUCGAUCGAAUACUCACCCUUAUAUAAAUAAACCUAAUUAAGUAAAGGUAACCAAAAAAAACCCUAAAUCAUCAAGUUUCAAUCUAUUAUAAGUAAAAAAUUUGAUUUUUCUAUUAAAAUUUUUUAUCACUAGAUAAAAUUUGCCCGUCUACCUUAUAUAUUUACAAAAAUACAAUUUUUUUAUAAUUUUUAAUAUAAUUUAUUAUUUUUUAUAAGAAUUUACUAAAGAUGCAUAGAGUUCAUAAAUAUUUCAUUUAUUUUUAUUUAAAACUUCACAUGUAUUAAGUAUGUAUUAAGUACAUACUCUUAAGAAAAUUUUAAGUUUAUAAUUUAAUUACUAAUUGAGUGUUAGUUUAACUAGUAUUAGUAUUAUUGUCGAUUCAAGAGGUUAUGAUUUUAAGUGUACUAAUACGUAUUAUCAUUCUAUUUAAGGGUCGAGAGUAGUUUCUAUCUAAAAAACAAAUAUAAUAAAAACCUAUAAUGAAAUUAAUGAUAAAUAUUGGUGCACAAGUAAACUAAGCCAAACCAAGGAAACCAAGAAGAACAACCUGCUAAAAUUUAGCUAGGUGCUAACAAAACCAGCGCCAAGCAUUCAAACAGAUUAAAACCAGCUUUGAACUUUCGCUUAAUCUCCCAAAAAAAGAGGAUUAAAGAGAAACGAAAACCAAUUCAUUUAAUUACACAUCUUGAUCUUCAUAUUCUUUACAUUCUGGUCCUUUAUAAUCAAAGGCUUGGUAGAACUGUAAAUGAAAUCAAUCGAUUUAAACUUCCUUCUCCUUGGCUGAAGAUGCUCCUCUUCUUCCUCCUCCAUCUCCAAUGGGUUGCUUUUCUCUUUCGUUUUCUUCGACCCUUUGUCGCCAUUGAUGUAUUGUUUACAAAGCUGCAUCAGCUGACGAGCUACAUCCAUCUCUAUCGCUGAGAAACUGGUGGGUUUUUGGCGUUUACAAGGAGAUGAGGGUUUCGCCAUCGUUGCUUCUAUUGUGCAAUUCGUAUUUUAAUGGAGAUGAAGGGGACUUGGUCUAUAUAUAGGUGAACGUAAACCGACUUAAUUAAAUUUUCUACUAGCCGACAGGGAAUUCUUAUGCAAUGCGUCUACGUGUAGGGAAAGUCCUGGAUAAAAUUUUAGAGCUAAACUUUAACAGCAAGUCAUUAUUGGGCUAAGCUUUAAGGCAUUCCGUCAUAAUGAAUAAGAUUUCCUCGUUGGAUUUCCAUAUGUGGAUCCUUACCAUUUAUAUUUCUUAAAUCUCAUUGGCUUUUAGACUCGUAACGGUUUAAAUGUGAUAUACGUUAGAUUUUUAAUUUUUUUGAUGUAAGGAGAGAGGAGAACAUGAACGUGGCUCACAUGGUGGUAAGACAAUGAUCAUGUGGAGAGUCGUUCUAGAGGAUGUUUUGACAGAGUUUUGGCAUAAGGAAGAGUUCUACCUUCUAAUGGUUAACUAAUUAAGUGAUAUUUAUGGGUAAAGUUAGACACUUUUUUGGCUAUUGCCUUUGUAUCUUAAUGUGUGGGUCGGUCCCGGUCUACUCAUUAAGAGACAUAAUAAACUUCUAAUUGAUUGGCAAUGUAGAUAGGAGCGAUUUCACAUUUCGAGCAUGCUACAUGCUAGUGUCACUGGAUCAUUACUCUCUUUCAAAAGGAGAUAUGUGACAGGAUGUGUAGUAAAGAUGCUUAUAUAGUCCAAGACCUUUCUUUAGAACACUUGGCUUGAAAUCAAACAAUUAAGGGUUGCUCUAUACCACUUGUCACGAGGCUAUUAUUCUCUUCCCAAAAAAAUGUCUAAUAUGAUAUGCAAUUCACCUACUUCAUCCAUAAAUAAAAUAAUUAAUAGAUAAACAAAAAAGGUUAGGGUAUAUUAUAUUUUUAAAAUUUAUAUUUUUUUUAUUAUUUUGAAUGAUGUUUAGUUAAUUUCUAACACUGACUUCUUAAAAAUAAAAAAAGGGUUAUGUUGGACAAUUUCAAUCAUAAAUAAAAUAAUUAAUAAAUGUGAAAGUUCUCUGUUUUGAUUAGGAAGUUUGGGGAUAAAUUUGAUAGAAUUUAUAAAUAUAAAGAGUUAAAUUUAUUAAUUUUUUAGAAUCAAAAUCAAAAUGAUAGAAUAUAUAAGUAUUAAGGACUAAAUGUGUUAUUAAUCCAAUCUUAAUGCCCAAAUAUAUAUACCUUUACACUUUCUCAUUUAAUUUAAGCAAAAACACAAAUCUUGGUGCACAAGUAAACCAAGCCAAAUCAAGAAAACCUAAAAAUAAACAACCUGCUAAAAAUUAGCUAGGUGCUAACAAAACCAGCACCAAAGCAUUCAAACAGAUCAUUAAACCAGCUUUGAACUUCCGAUUAAUUUAAUUACACAUCAUGAUCUUCAUCUUCUUUACAUUCUUGUCCUGCAUAAUCACAGGCUUGGUAGAACUGUAAAUGAAAUCCAUCGAUUUAAACCUCCUCUUCCUCGGCUGAAGAUGCUCCUCUUCUUCAUCCUCCAAUGGAAGAUAUCGAUCCCACGGACUGCUUUCAUCGGUUUUUGCUUUCGUCUUCUUCGACCCUUUGUCACCAUUGAUGUAUUGUUUACAAAGCUGCAUCAGCUGGCAAGCUACGUCCAUCUCUAUCUCUGAGAAACCGGUGGUGGUUCUUCUGCGUUUACAUGAAGAAGUUGGUUUCACCAUUGUUGUUUGUAUUAUGUUCCGUGUAUACAACGAAGGAGACUUGGUCUAUAUAUAUAGUUGAGUGUAAAUCGACUUAAAUUAAAUUUUCUCAUAGCCGGCAGGCAUUGCUGAUGUAAUUUGUCUACGCGUACGGAAAAUACUGGAUAAUAUUUUAGAAUAAAACUUUAACUGCAAGUCAUUGAUUGGGUGUAGUUUUUUCAAGAAUAAUAAAUUUACAUGGGAUAAUCACAAAUUUAGUCCCUAAUAUUUACCCAUUUUUUCUAUUGUGACCUUAGCUGAUUUAUCUGUUAAAAUUUUAACAAUAUUAACAUGACAGUCUAUGUGUAUUUCAUUGUUGAUGUGGAUAAUUUUUUAAAAAAUAUAUUAUUUUUAUUUUUAUUUUUAUUUUUUUGAAUUUUUAUAAAGUACGCGCAAGUUACCAUGUCACUACUAUUAAAAAUUUAAUGACCCAAUCAAUUUUUUCACGUAAAAAAAUUAUUUAAAAUUUGAAAGUUUUCAUAAAAAAAACUCAGACUAAAAGAAUUUUAUUAUUUAUAUAAAAAAUAAAUAUGUCUAAAUCAUAUAAGUAUUUGUGUUUAAUGGUAUGAAAAAUACUGCCAGCUUUGAUUAUUUGGGUUUUUUAAGGGUGAGUUUAGAUGGGUGGUGCGUUUACCUAUGAUUAGUGUAAAAACAGUGGUGACGGUGAGAUUAGAUAUUGUAGCGUGAGACAAAAAGUAAGUUAAACACACUGCAUUGCACUUUACUGCUCAUCCAAACUCACUCUAAGUUAAUUAAAUUGAAAGUGACUGAAAUUCAGAUUUUGGAGGCUGAGCUAUUUUAUGGGCUUCUCUAGCAAAAGGGCCGACCAAAAGUAGAAGUAUAUAAUAAUUAGUAUAAUAUCAAUUAGGUUCUUUCAUUUAUCUAGUUUUUAAUUUAAGCUUUAAAUGUCGGUUUAGAUAUGAGGUGAAGCAUUUUUCAAAACACGUGAAUAAAAUUGUAAAUAUAUGUGUACUUAUUGUACAAACAACUUGGAUUUAACUUGUUAAAAGAAACUAACAGCAUUAUUAAAAUUUAAGAAGAUUAUUUCUUUUUCCUUUUUAAUUCAUGUUUACAAUUUGACCCACACCAUAUUUGAGUUAAAAUUUAACACUCAAGCUAAUGGCAAUUCUGAUAGAAAAACCUAAUUAUAUUAUGCUAAUACUUUAAUGACUAAAUUAGAAACGUUUUAAAAUAUACGAAUCAAUUUAGAAUAUAGAACACAAUGCGGAGAUGUUUGCCAGAUUUAACCCUACUAAUUUGGCAUCCAAAAGACCUCAAGUUUAUGUAAAUUUCAUUAUAUAUAUUAUCAUGUAAUUUGAGAAAUCUACCAAAUAUUGGUGCAUACACACAAAAAGUUUCACAAACACAAAUGUAUCUCAAUGAUUAGCAUGAUCCAAUCCGAUACAAAUAAUAAAAAAGAUUAUGAUAAAAAAAAAACAUACAUUCAAACAAUGAGUGGUCCAGGUUGAGAUUGGGCAGCCAUGGCCAUCUCGAAUUGCCUCAAAGAAAUAGAAGGGAAAGCAAUGAAGUUAUGGUCAAGUGAACUGAAAUCUUGCCAACCCUUAAAAGGGCUGUUGUUGGUUGUGGUGGUGCCAUCCAAUCCUAUGUGUGUAACAUGUUUCACAUCUGUCGGAUUCCCAAUUUCCAUCUCGGUUGUCAAUUCCUCUAUGUCUUUGUAAACUGUGAAACCCCCAAUGGGUGCUUGCUUCAUUUAGUAAUUUUGAAGGAAAUUGUAUAUGGCAUGAACACAAUGUGCUAAUUUCAAUCAAGAGUAUUUGCAUAUGGGCAUUAAUCCAUGUAAAAUUGGGAUUUUUGAAAUUAGACUUAAUUGUAAAAUUGACCCUCAAACUAUAUUAUUUUUCCUACUCAAGUUCUUAAAGUUCGUUUGGUUAAAAGUGAUGCAUAAGUUAUUGAUUUCAUCUCAUUUUACAAAAAAAAAAAAAAGUAUACAACGUCCUUUAAGAACUUGUCAUGUAUCAUGUUCUUAUUGGUUAGUAUCGUGUUUUGGGGUAAAUAAAAAAAAAUUAAUAAUUUAUAUAUCAUUUUAACCCUGAAAAAAACUUCUAAGUAUCUAAAUAGGAAAAACAGAAUAGUUUGAAUUUUGCAUUUAAGCCAAAAAAUUAAAAUCACAUUAAUAACACUAGCAAUGAACUUUUGUUAAAUUUCAAUAUUAUUUCAUUUUAAUAUUCAACAAAUAUUCAAAUUCUGAUUCAGGCCAAAUAAUAACAGUGCUUUUUAAAUCGGAUAUAUAGAAUGACUCUUGAAAUUAAAAACAUAUCAACUAAAAUCUUCCGAAAAAGUACAAGGACUGAAAGCAGAAAUAGAUCAUAAAUAAUAACCUAAAAUAUAUAAAGAAAAAACUUUGAAAAUAAGCAUUCCCCAUGCCAUACCAAAUACUCACAUCUGGUAUGUUUGAAAAUAUGGGAUCAAUCAAAAUUUGAGAUUUUAUAAAAGGUUUUUUUGUGUGUGUGUGAAAUUAUCAAAACAAGAAAAUCCAAGCAAAGUGAAAAAAAAAAAAAAGAAGACAUUGAUCAUCAAACUUACCAAAUAACUGAGAGAAGCUUCUUACAGUAAUUCGAACCAAUCUAUGUAUCCCAUUCGAUAUGUUGGGCUUUGAAAGAGCCAACCAACCAAAUGAAUUCUUUGUUCUUCCCUUUGAUGAACACUCUUCUCCUACAACUUGUUUACCUUAAUUCAAAACAUAUAUAUAUGUAUAUAUCAGACAAAACCCUAAACCUGAGCAGAAAAAAUGAUCAGACAGAAACGAAGAGACAUGAUCAUACUUGUUAGAUUUUGAUAGUUGGGUUCUGGUUUUUGUUUCCUUGGAGGACUUUUGCCAACUGCAACACUUGCCUGAGAAGAACAACCAGUUGUGAAAGGAAGAACAAGCCUUUCCAUUCUCUCUUUCAUGUUUUUUUUUCCUUCCUUUAGAAAAAGCAAUCGAUUUAUCACCAAAAUGUUUUUUUUUUUUUGGGGGGGGGGGGGUAGGGGGGGUAGGGGUUGGUAAUUGAUUUGUCACCAAUAUGAAUGAAUGAGAAGAAGCAAAUGGAAAUGGAAAUGUUGGGUCAGUUUAUAUUUUGGUUAGGCCUUGGCUUUAUCAUCAAGAUAGAAUGAUUUUAGCAUCUGAAAAAUGAGAACAUGGGCAAUGAUUUUAUAUAUAUGGUUGGUCUUAAUUUCGGUUAUUUUAUAUCAUACAAGAGAUUGUAGCCAUUUCAUAAAUUGGGUUGGAAAUUAAAAAAUUGCGUCGGUGACUUAAAAUUUGUUAAAUUGAUCGUCAAAUAUGUUGUUCUUAAAAAAUUAAUUUCUUCUUCUUUAGUGUUGAAACAAAUUGGAUCAGAACGAGAAAAAGUUGACAAGUUCUAAAAUCAAAAUGUACCCAAAAAAGAGUUCCAGACUAAAUUUAAAAAGCUAUAAAAUUCGGGGACUAAAUAUUAAUUUAUCACAGCCUUUUAUGUUCAAAUAAGUUAACUAUGCACUUGUCAUCACAUGGAGAGAGAGUGGGUAGGGUUGGGGUUUGGUACAUAGUUAGCUAAACAGUGCAACUCAACCUAAUUUUCUUUUUUGCUGAUUAAGUCUACUAGAAACACUUGUAUUCAUUAUAAUUCCUCUAAAUAUAUUGGUGAAUGGUGGGCUCAAAAAAAAAAAAGUAUUUGUUGUUCUUCUCUUGUAUUUGAAGCCACUAUUAAUUGAUUAUUUUCAUGCAAUCAAUUCAUCCAUUCUCCCUUUUUUGUUUUUUUUUUCUUUGAUAUAUAUAUACACAUUCAUCAUCAACCUUGAAAAUAGACAAACUUAAUAGGCAUAAUAGCAUCAAUCAUAGAGUGAAUCUCAAGUGACUUCACCAUCAAAUUCAAUGAUAGUCUCAAGUAUUCCUUAGUUUCAAAAAAGAAAUUUAUGUCUAAAAGAGUACUUGAAUGUUGUUAGAUAGCCAACUAUAACCCCAAAUUUAAUUAAGGAAUGAUUGUUUGGAUCAACAUUAACAAUUUCUUUUUAUUAUUUAAGUAUUAGUGAAUUACUUGACCUUCCGCAUAAAAUUAUUAUUUUUUAUAUUCGAGUCUAGUCUGAUCUAUUACCGAUUAUAAUUAUAAUGUUAUUUCAUGAAUUAUGUAAAUAUAUUAAUUAUUUAACAUUAUCUUAAUUAAAAUGAUUAUAUAUUAUUUUUUUUACAAAGUAACAAAUAAUUAUAAAAAUCAAUUUAAACCCGUAAUAAAUCUCUAAAAAUAUUUAAACAUUUUGAGAUUUUAACUCAAGACAAACCGUAGUUUCUAGCCAUAAUUUUACCAUUACAAUUAAAAUUUUAUUUAUUUUUAUAUAAAAUUGUCUAUAAUUUUUUUCACAUGGUGAGUGUUGUUAAUAUAUUUUGAAAACAAAUUUAGAUAUAUUACUGAAAAUCAAUUUAUUUUCCAUAAAAGCUUUGGAGUAUUAUUAGUAUAGGUCUAGAUUUAUAUGGUGGCCCAAAUAUGAAUUGGGCUUAAUUGAAACCUACGAAAGGCUUGAUCUAGUAGUUAAAAGUGAUUAAACCAUUUUUAUUAAAAGCUUAAUUAAACGGGAGAUACUUAAACUAUUAGGUUUGUUUGAGUUAGGUAUUUAUAUUAUUUUUUUAUCCAUCCGAGUACCUAAACUUUGAAUUACUUAUUGAAAUAAGUACAUGCUGUUAGUAUCGUUAAAAAAAAAAACUCUAGCCAAUAGUUUCAUCCCACGUUAUUAUUAGCAAUAGAGUCUUACUUGUUAUAUUUGAAAUUGACAAUUUAUUGAAAUAAAACCUUUGGGUUAGGUUAAUAUUGUGAAAUUAUUCAAGCCCAUCAAUGGAUAUUUUUAAGGAUUGGAUCGGAUCAGAUCAAUCUUACCAAAUUCUUUCAAUUAAGGAUGUUUGAUCGAGACAAAACUUGAGGACUUAUCUUCCAACAAUCCUCUUUACUUUAGUUGUUAUUGUUAUAUUGGAUUUAACUAUUUUACUUGUUGUUCAAAGGGGAUUGUAGUUGAUCUUUAGUAUGUGAGUAAGUCUUAGAAAACUUUUAUAUAUUUGAGGUACUUGUAUAGAUUUUUGUAUUGAAUUUUUUAGAGCACUUACCAGUUCAGAGAGGAACGUUAUUGUGAGAGUGCAAAUGAGAUAGUAAAACCUAUUGUUGCCUUGAUGGUGGUUUUACAAACUAUGUGCUCGGGGGGAGAAUUUGAUGGUGAGAAAUCUAGCCUUUGAGUAUAACAUUGAGGUUAAUUAGACUAGGGUGUGAUAGAACUAGGAUUACUUGUUGUAUUGAGUUAAAAUAUAGUAAAUUCAUCUCAUUGAGCUAGAUUGUGUAGACGUAGGAAACCAAAUUGAUAAACAAUUUCUUAUUAGCUUUUUUUUUUUAUCACAAUGUUAUAGAAAUACCCAGUUUCACUGUCACUUCCAUUCAUACUUUAUUGCUUAAGAUAUUAACAAUUAAUUUACGUUAACAUAUUCAGCAGAUCACAAAUAAUAAGUUUUCUAAACAUUAAUCUUAUUAUAGGUUCUUAUCAUAUAUGUUAUUUUUUAUACAAUACUUAAAACUACCCAUAGCCCCUCUCCAACCCUUAAAUAGGAGGAUAAUGCGCUUCAACACAUUUAAAUCUAUGCCCUUCUGACAACAACCUAAAUGAUAAAUCUAUUUCCAUAGAAGAUUUUUUUGUGUGUAAUUAAAGUUAAGUGUCAUUUGGUUGUUUCCCACCCAAUGGAACAUGAUUAAUGGGAUUUUAGUAUAUCUUAUAAAGUAUUAAUUAAAAUUUAUAAUAAAAUCACAAGAAUAUGUUUGGUUGAUUAAACAUUUGCUUAGAGUAAUUUAUAUUGCAAUAUGUAUCACCAACCAUUUCUUUUACAAAAAUUAUUUAUUAUUUUUAAGUUUAAAAAUUAAAUAAAGUAUAUCUCAAUAAUGGAAUAUUCAUUAUUAACUGUCCAUUUUUAGCAAAAAAAGAAAAAGACACUAUUCUAAUUAAAGAAACAAACAGACACCAUUCACGUGUCACGCUGGUGAUAUAAGUGGUGGAAGGUCAGUGUCAUUUGACAAUUACUCAUUUUUAUAUUAUUUUAUUAUUUUUUGUUAUAAUUAUUUAAUAUUAAUAUUAAUAUUAAUAUCAAUUUUAUUAUAUAAAUAUUUUUUAUUUAACACAUUCAUAUUUUAUAUUUCACAUUUCGACUGAUAUAAGUAUUGUUAUCAAUAUAGGAGGAUGUGAAUUCGAGUGUACUAAAACGCAUUAUCCUCCAAUUUAUGGGUUGAUGAGAAAUUAUGAGUAAUUUCAGAUAUUAUAUCAAAAAAAACAAAUAUGAUCAAAAUCUAUAAUCAGAUAAUUAUUAUAAAAAAGAUAAUACUUUUUCAUUAAUUUGAUAAUGUCCAAUCAUUUUGAUUGCCUUACGAAUUUUAUUUUACCUUUAUCAACAACCAUUAUUGAUUUAAAAUUUUCGAAAAUAACAUUAUUGAAACAUUUGAAAAUAAUAUUAUUAAAAAUGACAGUUUAGAUUGAAUAGUUUGUAGAUUAAUAUGUUCUCGAAGGAUGUAGAUUAACGAUAUAUUUAUGUUUAAAAUUUUAAUUUGGAUUUUUAAUUAUUUUUUUUAUUUUUUAUGUCUUAUAAAAAGUAGGGUCAAUUGUAUCAAAUAGAGCGAGCUGAGAUAGAUUGUUCUCAAAUCCACCACUGCUCCACAGUUGGAACACUUCGCUUCACUUCACCACUUGCCCUACGUCAUUACAGAUGUGUAACCUUACCACUUCUAUAGAUGUUAGAUAUAUCUCACUCCAUCUCACAUCAAUUUAAUUUUUGUUAAUUAUUUCUAAAAUUUUUAAAUUUUUUAUAAGACAAUUAAGCGUAACUUUUUUUUUUAAAAUCUAAACAUAAAAGCCUUUUUUUAUAAUGCAUUUGUACAUUUUUAUCAUUUGAAUGGUUAUACAUAUUAUAUUAUACGAGUAAAAUGAUAAUUUUAUAUAGUAAAGAGCAAAUAAUUAUUAUAACUGCUUCGUGCCAAUUAUCCACCAAAAAAAAUUAUCCAAUUUGCCAUACCUUGCAACUAUACUUCAUAGAAAAAUUUAGUCUAUUUAAAAUUAAACGAUUCAAAAUCUAUGAAACGAAUCUUUUUCUAUCAUCCUCAAAUAUAUAAUACUUAAAAAAAAAGGUGGCUUUUAAUUUUCAUACAAGAAGAAACAAGCCACACUGCGUGAACUUGUUGACAAAACGAUAGCCUCUAUCUUCUUCACUUUGACUAGGUGAAGUUCCAUUUUGUCAAAACCUAAUAAAGUUUUUAUAUAAUGAUUAAAAGGUAUAAUCAGGAUUGUACUUUUUAUUAAUUAAAUUUAUUUUUGGUUGCACCAAAAUUAAUUAAAGCAUAAAUUUAAUAUAAACACAAAAUUGAAAUUUAUUUAUAGCAACUUAAAUUUUUAGAGUUACUUAAUUUAUAAAUAAAUUUAAAGAUAAAAUUUUAACUGUAAUGUAAUUAACGUGAAUCACUCUUAAACAAUAAAUAUUCUUACCAUCAAAUCAAACCAACACCAAUGAGAUUUUUAAAGAUUGAAAAUGAAGAAUGAUAUUUAAAAGGGAAGAAAAAAACAAAUUUACUUGCAAUAACCUUGAGAAACAUCAUCCACAAAAGCUUUAAGGUUCAUAUCCAUGGACCCACCUUCCAUGGCGGCUUCCCUGGCUAACCCUUUCCAUUUCUCUACAUUUUUCUUCACUUCCAUCCCUUUCUCAUCAUCCCCCAUCACCACAUCCAAGCACCUAACGAUCUCAUCACGUUCCACCAUCCCUUCUUCAUUAGUGCUCACUCUCACCCCAGUGCCCCACACAUCUUCAAUCAGCUUCGCACUAGUCCCUUGAUCCGUCCACUGAGGAAAAGCUACCAUCGGUACACCGGCAACCAAGCUCUCUAACGUCGAGUUCCACCCACAAUGCGUCACGAAGCAACCCAACGACGGAUGAGACAACACUUCUACUUGCGAACACCAUGGAACCACCAUUCCAAAUUGUUCCAAUUCUUCCCUGCAAGUUAACUUAUCUUCUUCUUUCUCUUCUUCGCCUCUAUCUUUCCGGUUCCUCAUCACCCAUAAAAACGGUCGCCGGCUGGAUAUUAAAGCUCGAGCGAUUUCCUCCACUUGUUGCUUCUUCAACGCCGCGAUACUCCCGAAGGAAACGUAAACGACGGCCGAUUUUGGUUUGGAGUCUAACCAUUGGAUGUAAUCUUUUGAAUCGGAUUGAAAAAGAUCGACUCUUAAGGAAUUAUCUAAUGCGUCUUUUGAGUUAAAGAAUGAAGAUGGGACUAAAGGUCCAAUACCAACUGUCUUGAACUUUUCAAUGGCGUUUAAUGCUUCGUGUUCCAAAGCAUCGAAGGUGUUAAUAAGGAUUUUAGCGUUGGGUUCUUCUGCGAGGACGUCCAUUUGUUCUUGGAACAACGACAGUGCCGAUUGGUAAACGUUCGAAGCGAUAACGAACGAUGGAAGGUCGCGGGGGAAGAGUGGCGGUAGACCUGGUAAUUUUAUCGAACACUUGGGGUUUGUUUCAUCAGCUUGAGCUUUAAUGGCGGAUUCGUAUCCGUUGAAGUAAAAAUAAUAGAUGUCGAAAACGGUGGCGGGUUGAAUCCAGAGUAAAGCUGACGGGAUGUGAUGUUUACGCGCCACCUCCGCAGCCCAAUGAAGGCAUAAAGAGUAGACAAUGCAAGUAAUGGGUUUACCUUCGUUUUCACUGCUUGUUAUAUACUCAGAGAUGGCAUCUUUGCCUCGUCGCUUGAAUUCAGACAAGUAAUGGUCUGUGUCAUCGCCGGGUUUAAUUCCGUCGUCGUAGCCAUCUGAAAAAGGUAAAAACGAUAGGCCUUCAGCGGUGGGGACUUUGGUCAUGCGGCGGCUGGCGGAGAUGCUGGUGAUGUAAGUUACACGUACGCCGAUACGAAUAAGAUGCUUGGCGAAUUGUAAGGUCGGGUUUAUGUGGCCUUGUGCAGGAUAGGUCACUACGAUGAAAUGAGGUUGUGGCAUGAUGGUGACGGCGGCGCGUGGGUAGUGAAUUAUCCUUUCUCUUUUUACUAAUUUGGAGUAAUUCGUGAAGGAAAUUAAUGGGUUUUUAUAGUGAUGAGAGGAAUUCAUAAAAGGUGACGUUUGAGCUGACGAAUUUCAUAGAUUCCUAAACCUUUUUGGAUUUAUCUGGUGUUUUUUUAAGGCUUAGGUUGCAGCUUGAUGCAUGAUGCUGUCAGAGACACUUUCAGACUACACGACUCUUGGGGGUUUGAACUUGAUUCACCAAUUAUAGUUUAGGUUAAACUAAACCCCAACACUAAACUGGUAAGUUUAUAUUUGGUUAAACUACCUACCAAGUUAUCCAUCUAUGCUUAAACUUUUUUUUUACUCACUCAAUUUUUAAAACUUUCGAAAUGGUCACUCAAUUAAUUGAAUUCGAUAUUUUUGAUCCAUAUCCCUUAAGCAUUGUUAAAUGCCUUAUCUUUGUAUAUCUGGUAGAUUAGGUAUUUGUAAAGUUGAGGGUUAAUUUUUGAAAAUUAUGAUUAAAUUGACAUAAAAUAUAAAUUUUGAUGGCUAAAUUUGUUAUUAUACUAAUUAUAAAGUAUUACCUCAACCUCGUGUUCAAACCCUUAACGGAAAUGGACGGAAAAAUAAAUUUGAUUAGUUAGGUGACAAUUUUGAAAGUUUUAAAAGUUGAGUGAAAAAAAAGAAGCUUAAACAUAUUUGAGUGGCUUGCAAUGUAGAUUAGCUUCUAUAUUUUGAUUACUCAACUUUUAGAUUUUACAAAAUGGUCACUGAACUAUUCGAAAGUUUUCAUUUAAGUAACUAAAUUAUUCGAAAUAUAUAAUUUAAGUCACUAGGCCGUUAAAUAUUUUUUUAAGUCCGACUAGCAAGCUCCAAGUAGGGGUGAUAUCAGUUCGGUUUGGUUGAGUUUUUCAAAUCUUUUGAAUUGUCCAUCAUAAUUCGAUUUGGCUCAGUUCAAUUUUUCCAUAUUAAUUUUUUAUUUUGAUUUUUUAAAUUUAUUUUGAUAAAAUGAGCUUUGUUUUAUGGCUUUUGAAUAUUAUUUGACAAAAUUUCAAGAUUUUUUUUAUAAAUAUUUCUAAAAUACAAUAAUCUUUUAAAAAAAUUUAAAUAAUUUACACUAUUUUAAAUAUAAAAUAUUUAUUUUUUAUAUCAUAAAAAAUAAAAUGACUUAUAUAUUAAAUAAAAAACACAAUUCAGUUUAGUUUUAGGUAACUGCAAUUUUUAAACUUGCAUUCCAUAAAUCAUCUAAAUAUCUUGGUUAGGGUUGGUUUUCGAUUUGGUUAGUUUGUUUGCACAACCUUAGCUCUAAGCGACUAUUCGACGAUUGAUACAGUGAAUCAGUACACAUUGAUAAGUAAAAGAACAUACUUUAAAUCCAAAUUGAUCUAACGGUUAGUGUCAGAGAUCGAAGAAGAAAGUUGUUUAGAUUUUAAUUUGUAAAUUUGUGACGUUCAAAACUAUUUCAUGAAAAAAAAUUGAACUAUAGAAAAGAAGAAAAAAGAGAUCUUUCGGUUGGUGCAAGGAUUGCAAGCGGAGAAGGCCAUACAAUAACAAUUUUAACAGUCCAUCAAGUUAAAUGAAAAUUUUCAAAUAGUUCAAUGACCAUUUUGAAGUUUUUUUAAGCUGACUGAUCAAAACAUAAAUUUACUAAUAAUUUAGCAACCUUGAAUGUAGUUUACUCAAAUUAUUAAUAAUGAUGUUUUUUUUUUUGUGAUGGAAUUUCGAUUGAAUUUUAUUAAUUAAUUUUAAAAAAAUUUAUAAAUCCAAGUAAAUGUAGGAAAAAUCUACUCUUUUUUGAUAUAAUGCUUAGAGCUACCCAUAGCCCUCCCCACUUUUAAAUAGGAGAACAAACUCAAACUCACAUCCUCCUACACUGACAACAAUGCCGAUGCUAAUCAAAUUAAGACUCAGUUGACAACUACAUCAACUUUUAAUUAUUCAUAUUUUGUAAAAGUAAUUUUUGGUGAAAGUUAUAGUGAAAGUUAUCAUAUUGGUGGUUAGGUGUGAUUGACCAUUGAGUUAUAAUUAUUGUAGCAUCAAGAAAAGUUAACCGAGUUGAUUAGAGUGUGGGGUGAAUAAAUUAAUUUUUCAAAAUUUUAAUAGUAGGAAUGGAAGAAUAUUUUUACAAUGUUAUUUCAUGAAUUAUGUAAAUAUAUUAAUUGACGUGACAAAUUAAUUUAACAUUAAUAUCUUAAUUAAAAUGAUUAUAUAUUUUUUUUACAAAGUAACAAAUAACGUUACGAGGGUUUUUUUGUUUUUUGUUUUUUACAUUUUUAUAUAAAAUUUAUAAAAUUCAAUUUAAACCCGUAAUAAAUCUCUAAAAAUAUUUAAACAUUUUGAGAUUUUAACUCGAGACAAACGGUAGUUUCUAGCCAAAAUUUUACCAUUACAAUUAAAAUUUUAUUUAUUUUUAUAUAAAAUUGUCCAUAAUUUUUUUCACAUGGUGAGUGUUGUUAAUAUAUUUUGAAAACAAAUUUAGAUAUAUUACUGAAAAUCAAUUUAUUUUCCAUAAAAACUUUGGAGUAUUAUUAGUAUAGGUCUAGAUUUAUAUGGUGGCCCGAAUAUGAAUUGGGCUUAAUUGAAACCUACGAAAGGCCUGAUCUAGUAGUUAAAAGUGAUUAAACCAUUUUUUUAAUGCUUAAUUAAACGGGAGAUACUUAAAUUAUUAGGUUUGUUUGAGUUAGGUAUUUAAAUUAUUUUUUUAUCUAUCCAAGUACCUAAACUUUGAAUUAGUUAUUGAAAUAAGUACAUGCUGUUAGUGUUGUUAAAAAAAAAAACUCUAGCCAAUAGUAUCGUCUCACGUUAUUAUUAGCGAUAGAGUCCUACUUGUUAUAUUUGAAAUUGACAAUUUAUUGAAAUAAAAUCUUUAGGUUAGAUUAAUAUUGUGGAAUUAUUCAGGCCCAUCAAUGAAUAUUAAUCCAUUUAGAGAAACUUAUUUUUAAGGAUUGGAUUGGAUCAGAUCAAUCUUACCAAAUUCUUUCGAUUAAGGAUGUUUGAUCGGGACAAAACUUGAGAACUUAUCUUCCAACAAUCCUCUUUACUUUAGUUGUUAUUUAUUAUAUUGGAUUUAACUAUUUAGUUAUUGUUCAAAGGGGAUUGUAAUUAAUCUUUAGUAUGUGAGUAAGUCUUGGAAAACUUUUAUAUAUUUGAGAUACUUGUAUAGAUUUCUGUAUUGAAUUUUUUAGAGCACUUACCAGUUCACAUAGGAACGUUAUUGUGAGAUUGCAAAUGAGAUAGUAAAACCUAUUGUUGCCUUGAUGGUGGUUUUACAAACUAUGUGCUCCGGGGGAGAAUUUCAUGUUGAGAAAUCUAGCCUUUGAGUACAACAUUGAGGUUACUAGACCAGGGUGUGAUAGAACUAGGAUUACUUGUUGUACUGAGUUCAAAGAUAGUAAAUUCAUCUCAUUGAGCUAGAUUGUGUAGACGUAGGAAACUGAAUUGAUAAACAAUUUCUUAUCAGCUUUUUUUUAAUCACAAUGUUAUCAGAAUACCCAAUUUCACUGUCACUUCCAUUCAUACUUUAUUUCUUAAGAUAUUAACAAUUAAUUUACGUUAACAUAUUCAACAGACAAAUAAUAAGUUUUUUUAACAUUAAUCUUAUUAUCUGUUCUUAUCAUAUCUGUUAUUUUUUAUACAAUACCAAAACUACCUAUAGCCCCUCUCCAACCCUAAAAUAAAAGGAUAAUGCGCUUCAGCACAUUCAAACCCAAACCCUCCUGCACUGACAGCAAUACCAAUACCAAUCAAAUUAAGACUCAAUCGAAUAGUUUUUUAUAAUUACAAACAAAUGAUAAAUCUAUUUCCAUAGAAGAUUUUUUGUGUAUAAUUAAAGUUAAGCGUCAUUUGGUUGUUUCCCACCCAAUGGAACCUGAUUAAUGGGAUUUUAGUAUAUCUUAUAAAGUAUUAAUUAAAUUUUAUAAUAAAAUCACAAGAAUAUGUUUGGUUGAUUAAACAUUUGUGUAAGACCUAAAUUUUGCCCGGGCCCAACUAAACCUAAAGCCCACACUACAUCAGUCCCAACAUUUAGCCUACUACUCUAAACCCAAUGACCCAAUACAAACAGCCCAAAUACUUAGCCCUAACAGCACACAUCCGAAAAACCCUAGCCCUUUGCCCCAGCGCCGCACGUCAGCUAGGAUCCCUCAUACGCUUCCGCAAAUGCCGCAGCAGUUGCUCACAUCGCAGCAACCACCCACGAUCAGAACACCUUGUCGUUUCCACAUACCUGUAACAAAUAAACCACGAGCAACACUAAUAGGAGAUACAGUAAAUUGUAAAGAAGUUUUGGCUAUAAAAAGCCAAUGGAUUUCUGUAAUAAGGGUUAGCAAAUUUUUGAUAAAAAAAUUAAAAGAAAAUACAAGAGAAAAAAACAUUUUGAAGGUGACAGCUUGUUGUUUCUUUUCUUCUGUUCUUUUACCGCUUUCAUUUUACUUUUGUUUUUCUUUUGUUUCUAAAACAAAAUAGAUUAAAUAAAGGGAGGUAAAGGAAAACUUACCAGCGUGGUGUCGAUGUAGCCCUUUGUUUCAUUACUGUCGGAGCAGGGGAGGAGUUUUAAGGGUAGAGAAACGACGCAAUGACAAAGAAAGAAAGAAAAUGGUUUUUAGGGUUUGAAAAAGGGUUUUUAAUUGAUUUUAAAACAGUGCCGUAUUUGGUGUACCCGAAUGCCCGCGUUGUAACACCCCUUACCCGUAGUCGACACUGAAAUAGGGUACGAGGCAUUACCAGAACACAUACACUUGUAAACAUAUUUAACCGAGUUAUAAAAUUUCAUCUAAAUUAAAACUUUCAAAAUUAUUAACAUGCUUUUAUAACUCUUCACAAUAUAUCCUCGAAAUGUUAUUAUAAUUUUAAUAAUUAAGGCCUACGAGACCCUAUACAUAUUCAUGCAAUUCAAUACUUCAUUUCCAUUUCACUCAAUUCGCAAUUUCUCAUGCUCACGAUUUAGAUCAUAUCACUAGCAAUUUCCAUUUAAUUCACAUACAAUUCAAUCUCAUUAAGUUUAACACUAAUACGCAUUUAGCAUUUAAUUCAACGUUUGUCCAUUAUACCAUUCGUUAACACAUUUAUGAAAUUCUAAAUUUUGCAAUGAAAAUAUCAUUUUAGCUUAAAUAACAACAUCAUCCUGGUAUAAAUACACUACCACUUAUCCAUUUUCUUUAAUUUUUUUGGGUCAAUUUGUCACUUACCGUCCUUAUCAAAUUAGGAAACUGUUACGGAAAAUUAAGUACUUCACUUUCACUUUGCCAUAGUAUAACUAUGGUCUUACGUAUGACCACUUAUCACUUGUCCUUGAACAGAUAAGUGUACCUAGGCUACCACUUAUCACUUUGUCACUUGAUCAGAUAAGUGUAGUUAAGGCUACCACUUAUCACUUUGUCACUUGAUCAGAUAAGUGUAGCUAAGGUUACCACUUAUCACUUUGUCACUUGAUCAGAUAAGUGUAGCUAAAGCUACCACUUAUCACUUUGUCACUUGUCACUGAUCAGAAGUACUCAAAUCCGGCAUUCCACUCAAUUUGAUCAUUUAUUCAGUUUUCGCAUUUUUAUUUUAUUCUCAUUUCAACACUAAAUAUGUUAGCCAAAUACACAUAUAGCAUAAGCAUUACAAGCAUGGAUGAGCACAACAUUUAUUCAUGUAUCACGCUUACCAACAUGUGUUAAUUCAUAAACCAUUCAUAAUUUUUUUAUGCCAAAUCAUAUACCGAAUAUACCAUACACACAUACUAUGAAACUUUAUUUUCAUACAUGAGCUUAGACCAUGACCAAUAAUGCACAAAUAUAAGCAUCAUUUUUAUUUCAUCGUUUAUCAAUUAUAAUCAAGCAUAUGACCAAUUAUACACAAAUCAUUCAUAUAUUUCCCAAUUUUCCUCCUCCUCCUCUCAAUUUCACAUCCUUAAUGUGUAUAACACACUUAAACAACAUUAACUAUAAUUUCAUUAUUCACUCACAUGUAUAUUCAAAAUUGUUUAUCCGAGUCAGAGUCACUAAAUUAUUUUUAUCUGGAGCUACAGAGCUCCAAAUGAAGAUCUGUUAAUUUUCCCUGAAACUAGACUCACAUAUCUUCUUGCCAUUAAAUUUUCAGAAUUUUUGGUUCAACCAAAUAGUACAGUUUAUUCUUUAAAGUUUUCCCUGUUUCGCUAUCUGACAGUUCCGACCACUAUUCACUAAAAAGUAAUUAUCUCAUUGUACAGAAUUUGGAUGUUGUUUCUGUUUAUUUAUUAUAAAAAUAGACUCAUUAAAGAUUCUAACCAUAUAAAUUAUAACUAACAUAUCAAGAACAUAUAAUCUUAUAUAAUAAAACUCUACAUUAACAUCAAUCUCAUACUUUUUCAAUAAUAUCAAACUCAAAAAUAUGUUGAAAUCAUGAUGUUCUUACCUUGCUCAAUUGACUUCAAUCUUUAACUUGAUUUUCUCUCUCCUCCAGCCUCUAUUUCUAGAAUCUAACUUGAUAUUCUAGCUCCCCAUAGUCUCCUUGCCAAUUUUAUCUCUUGGUGGCUAUGGAAAUUUCUUUGAUUUCUAAGUGAAAAUGAUAGAUUUUUGGUGAAAGGACCAAAUUGUAAAGAAAGCAAACCUUUCUUUCUUUUUCUCUGUUCUCACGUUGGUUGCAUGGAAGAAGAAGAUGAUUCUUCCUCUUUUCUUCCAUAUAUAUAUACUAAAUAAAAUAAUAAUAAAAUAAUAAAAUGUCAUUUAAAAAUCUAAUUAAAAUAUUAAUAAACUAAUAUUUACUUAUUUAUUUAGUCUAAAUAUCUCCAACAUCAUCAUUAUUUUCUAAAUUUUUCUUUCUUCUAAUUGACCAUUUUACCCUUUAGAUCUUUCAAAAUUCCAUCAUUGAGUCAUCACUUAAUUUGGUAAAAUUAUAAUUUAAUCCCUCAUAAUUCUUCAUCUAUUCAAUUUGGUCCCAAUUCAUCCAUUUUUCUUAGUUUCUAGAUUAUUCCACCCUUAAAAUAUUUACACUAUUGGUUCUUUAACUUUUUCAUAUUUACACUUUAACCCUCAACUUUUCAGUAUUUACUCUUGGGUAACAAAACUUUUCUCACUUUUGCAAUUGAAUCCUUUCUUGAAUUAAUAUGUCAUAAAUCAUAAAUUUUAAAAUAAUUUUUUUUCCUUGUCUGAAUUUUGGACCCGAAACCACUGUUCCAACUAGACCCAAAAAAAUCGGGCUGUUACACGAGUGACCCGAUCCAAAAACCCGAUCAGAUCCGCAUGUUUUAAGUUGAUGGGUUAUUUAUAAUUUAGGCCCUUCAUGUUUUAUGGUUUUCAAAAUCACUGUUUUUUUUAUUAUUUUCAAAUUUUUUCCAUGAAACAUUGUUAAUUUUGAUUUAAUCCAAUAUUGCGCAAUGCUUCGAGUGGUUUGGGUAAAUUGUUUUUUUGGUCCUCCCCCUGAUUGCGCAUGUUUAAAUUACUCCCUUUCUUAUUUUUAUUUUCAAAUUCAGCUCUCAAAUUCCGUUUGGUUUUGAAACUUAAUCUUUAAUUUGUUUUUUUCAGUUUUUUUUAUAUUUAUUUAUUAUUAUAUUGUUUAUAUUGUUUAUUAGUAUAAUUAUUACUAUAUUAUUAUUAUUGUCCGUAUAUAUGUGAGCAUGUAUAUAUGUUAAUAUAUAUAUAUAUGUAUAUUCUAAAUGUUUUAAAUACAUAUAUGUAGUACGUAUAUAUUUUAUUAUCAUAUCAUUUUAUUUUUAUAGUUUAUAUAUAUUUUAUAUACAUUCAUAUUUUUUAUGAUAUUUAUAUUUUCAUGUUUUAUAAUUCAUAUGUUUAUACAUUUUUAUAACGUUUACAUAUAUUUUUGCAUUCUUUUCAAGGCUAUUAUAAAUAUUUUCCAUGAUUUUAUAUUUACUAAUACAUUAUACUUAUACAUUUUUUUUAAAACGUAUUAAUAUAUUUUAUAUGUAUUUUAUCAUUGUUUUAUUUUUAUGACUUACGUUUUUUGUCUCAUAUCCAUAUACAUAUUUGGUAAAAUUGUUUAUAUAUCAUACUUAUGUAUACACAUAAUUUAAAUUAAAGUAUUUGUUUCAUAUUGCAUUGACAUUUUUAACAUAUUUUUCAAAUACAUUUUGAUUUUGUCAGAACAUUAAAAUCAUUUUUUAUGAUUCAAAGGUUUUCAAAAUAAAAACGAGAUUCAAAGUUAGGGAUUUUCGAGGAAAAUAGAGCCCUAACGUAUUGGGUUCCGAUUUUCUUUGUUAAUUUCAAAUAACCGAGAAUAUUCGUGAUUUAAAAUGUAUAAGUAAAAAUCAUUUUUGGGAACUUAAUUCGUUAUGUCCUAACAUAUUGGGCAUGACAUAAUUGCUUCCUCGAAAUGAGGAUUUACUUAUAAAGAAAAAGUGAUAUUCAAAAUUCGGGGAUUUUGAGAAAUUGUACCCUAACGUAUUGGGUCUGAAUUUCUUCGUAUGACUUGAAUAAUUGACUAUCCUUUUCAGAUUUCAAUGUUUGAGCUUAACAAAAUCUUUUAAAUUUUCGACACCAAGACAUUAAAUAAUUAAAUUCGGUACCGAUUUUUUUGGGCGUUACGAGGGUGCUAACCCUUCCUCGUGCGUAACUGACUCCCGAACCUGUUUUCUCAAAUUUCGUAGAUCACAUUUGUUUUUCAGGUAAGCCGAUCACACCUAAAUUACGGAUCGGUGGCGACUCAAAUUUUUAUUUUUAAAGGUCGACAAACUAAAUUUUUGUUUUCAAAAAAAUGGUUUCGACAAUUUGCUUAGAAUAAUUUAUAAAAAGACACUACUCUAAUUAAAGAAAAAAACAGACACUAUUCACGUGUCACGCGAGUGGUGUCAUUCGACAAUUAUUAAUUUUAUAUUAUUUUAUUAUUUUCUGUUAUAAUUAUUUAACAUUAAUAUUAAUAUAAAAUUUAUUAUAUAAAUAAUUUUUAUUUAACACAUUCAUAUUAUAUAUUUCAUUUAUUCAUUUAAAUUCUUAAUUCGAUUGGUAUGAGUAUUGGUGUCAAUACAGGAGGAUGUGAGUUUGAGUGCACUAAAACGCAUUAUCCUUCUAUUUAUAGGUUGAUGAGAGACUAUGAACAAUUCCAAAUAUUAUAUAAAAAAAAUAGUUAUGAAAAAUCUAUAAUGAAAUUAUUACUAUCAAGAAGAUAAUGCCUUUUCAUUAAUUUGAUAAUUUGAUAAUGAUUUUAUUUUACCUUUAUCAACUACAAUUAUUGAUUUAAAACUUCGAAAAUAACAUUUUUGAAACAUUUGAAAAUAAUAUUAUUAAAAAAACAGUUUAGAUUGAAUAGUUAGUAGAUUAAUAUGUUCUCGGAGGAUGUAGAUUAACAAUAUAAUUAUGUUUAAAAUUUUAAUUUGGAUUUUUAAAUAAUUUGUAUUUUUAACGCCUUAUAAAAAUUAGAGUUAAUUGUAUCAAAUAUCUCUAAAUUAUGACUCUUAUUUUAAUUUGGUCUUCAAAAUUUAAAUCAUUCUAAUUAUAUCAUUAAAUUAUCAAUGUUAUAUCAAAUAAGGUUCUUCCGUUACUAAAAUUGUCAACUUAACCGCUAAAUAAGAUGUCAGAUCUUACGUGAUAUAAUUUAAAAUGAAUAUUGUAUAAAUACCAAUUUUGAGGUUUUCAUAGAUUUUACAGAAAUUAUCGUUCAUUUUCCUCUCUUUUUUUGUUUGUCUUACUUUAUUUUAAUUUUUAAUUUUAAAAAUUAUGUAACAACAUUUUACUUUUCUUUAAAAUUUUAUUUUGAUUUAUGUCAUAUAAAAUUUUACGUGUCAUUUAAUGAUUAAAUUAACAAUUUUCAUAAUGGAAGGACCUGAUUAAUAAAACAUCGAUUGCUUUGAGACGUAAUUAGAAUGUUUAAGAAACAUAAUUAAUCAAGCUCAUCAUUUAAAAAAAUUAAAACACUUGUCGACAAAAAAAGAAUAAAACAGUAUCACGUGUCACGUGGGUAUAUAAAGUGGUAUUUAAUGUCUUGCAAAUAUGCUUUACAAAUAUUUAAUGUGGGAACUAAUAAUUAAACUAACAAAAUUAAAACGAUAUUUAUAUUUUAAAAAUUCAAUUAGAAUUUUUAAAUUUUAGAAAUUAAUUUAAAAUAUAAAUUAUAAUGGAAGGAUGUUUAGUACAAUUAACUAUUUUGUACCAUUAUAUCUUUUUGGGAUAACGUUAUAUUUAGUAUAUAUACUUUCAUAAAAUUUCUAAUGUAGUAUUUGUACUUUGAAAAUAUCUAAUGUCACACCUGAACUAUUAAUAUAUAUUUUUUAUUAUGGUACUUGCAAUUUUGUAAAAUAUCUAAUGUGAUACUUGAGCUAUUAAUGUGUUUUUAUUAUGGUACCUAGUGUUAAUACUGUUAAUGAAUUACUAAACCAGCCAAUAAAAAUUUGAUACGUAAUUUUUUUUAAAUCAUCCAAAUCCACAUGAAUAAUAUAAAUUAUAUAGAAAAAUAAAUAAAACAAAAACAAAUUAAUUAAAUAUAUUAUUAAUAAAAAGGAUCUAUUAUUAAACUUACAUAAAUAAAAAACAUCAUCUUCUUCAUUUAAGUAAAUUUUAUGUGCCAAAACUUUUAUUGAUUGCUUUAGCAAUUCACUAAUAGUGUUAACGCCAAGUACUGUAAUAGAACACGUAUUGAUAGUUAAGGUAUCACAUUGGAUAUUUUAUGAAAGUACAAGUACCAAAUGUGACACUAUCUUCUUCUUCUUCUUCUUUUUUCUUUUUUUCUUUUUUUGAGUUCUAAUCUUUUUAAUAGGUAUUUUUUCUAAUGUUGUAAAAGAGCCUAUUUAUUGGCUAAAUUCGUAGGUAAAAUAAAUUAUGCUAAUAAAUGCUAAAUAUAUUACACUAAUAAGUACUAAAUCUUCUAAAAAGAAAAUAUAUUUUGUUAAACUUAAUUUGCAAAUAAUCUCUUGUUUUAUUCAACAGGAAUUUGGAUCACACAACUCUAACAAUAAUACUUACACUUAUUAGGGAUGACAAUAGAGCGAGUUAGGAUAGAUGUUGUCAAAUCCACUACUGCUUCACAGUUGGUACACUUCACUUCACUUCACUUUACCACUUGCCCUGUUUUAUUACAUAUGUUAAACCUUGAAAAUUAUUACCACUUCUAUAGAUGUUGGAAAUACCCCACUCCAUCCCACAUCAAUUUAAUUUUUGUUAAUUAUUUCUAAAGUUUUUAAAUUUUUUAUAAGACAACUAAGCAUAACUUUUUAAAAAAAUCCAAACAUAAAAGCUUUUUUUAUAAUGCAUUUGUACAUUUUUACCAUUUGAAUGGUUAUACGAGUAAAAUGAUAAUUUUAUAUAGUAAAGAGCAAACAAUUAUUAUAACUGCUUCGUGCCAAUUAUCCGCCAAAAAAAAAAUUAUCCAAUUUGUCAUACCUUGCAACUAUCCUUCAUACAAAAAAUGUAUUCUAUUUAAAACUGAACGAUUUAAAAUCCAUAAAACGAAUCCUGUUGUAGCAUCCUCAAAUAUAUAAUACUUAAAAAAUGGUAGCUUUCAAUUUUCAUACAAGAAGAAACAAACCACAUUGCGUGAACUUGUUGACAAAACGAUAGCCUUUUAUCUUCUUCACUUUGACUAGGUGCAGUUCCAUUUGUGUGGUGGUUCAGCAUUACCAUCAUUAAUUACUACAAGUCAAAACCUAAUAAUGUUUUUUUAUAAAGGUAUAAUCACGAUUGUACUUUUUAUUAAUUAAAUUUAUUUUUGGUUGCACCAAAAUUAUUUAAAGCAUAAAUUUAAUAUAAACACAAAAUUGACAACUUAUUGAAUUUUAAUUUAAUUAGUAUUUUUAUUAUUGUAUUUAUCGAAAAAGAAUUUAGAUAUACAUAUUUUUUUUUUGUAAAUUAUAGAAGGAGAACAAAUAAAGGUGUCUAUAGGUCGGGCCGAGCCCAAUCAAAAUUUUAGUUUCGCUUGUAGGCUUGGGACUAGCUCGGCCCAGAUAAAAAUGUUAAAACUCGAAUUCAGUCUAACUCACUAGUAUUAAUUUUUUUAUUUUAUUUUUUAAAAAAAUUUAAUACAUAAAAAAUACUAUAACUAUUAAAAAUGUUUCUUAACAAAUUAAAAAUAAAUUAAAAAAACAUAUAUAUUAAAUAAAACUAAGAUAAGUGAUGCUAACCCAUGGAUAGAUCUAAACCUUUCAAUUUUUCGAAUGAUCUAACAUAUGGAUAAAUUUAAAAAUAAAAUCCUAACAAUAACGCAACUAAUGUGACUCGAACUGAUUGAAACAAUAAACAUUCUUACCAUUAAACCAACACUAUUCACAUUACUAUUACUAUUCAAAGAUUGGAAAAAAAAGAAUGAUAUUUGAAAGGGAAAAAAAGGAAAUUUACUUGCAAUAACUUGAGCAACAUCAUCCACAAAAGCUUUAAGGUUCAUAUCCAUGGACCCACCUUUCAUGGCGACUUCCCUGGCUAACCCUUUCCAUUUCUCUACAUUUUUCUUCACUUCCAUCCCUUUCUCAUCAUCCCCCAUCACCAAAUCCAAGCACCUAACGAUCUCAUCACGUUCCACGAUCCCUUCCUCGUUACCGCUCACUCUCACCCCAGUUCCCCACACAUCUUCAAUCAGCUUCGCACUAGUCCCUUGAUCCGUCCACUGAGGAAAAGCCACCACCGGUACACCGGUAACCAAGCUCUCUAACGUCGAGUUCCACCCACAAUGCGUCACGAAGCAACCCAACGACGGAUGAGACAACACUUCUACUUGCGAACACCAUGGAACCACCAUUCCAAAUUGUUCCAAUUCUUCCCCGCAAGUUAACUUAUCUUCUUCUUUCUCUUCUUCGCCUCUAUCUUUCCGGUUCCUCACCACCCACAAAAACGGUCACCGGCUGGAUAUUAAAGCUCGAGCGAUUUCCUCCACUUGUUGCUUCUUUAACGCCGCCAUGCUCCCAAAGGAAACGUAAACGACGGCCGAUUUUGGUUUGGAGUCUAACCAUUGGAUGUAAUUUUUGUUAACAUUAAUGGGAGACAACAUUAAUGGCAAACAAUACAAAGUGGUGCAAGUUUAGCACCCUAAAGUUGACUUUGAAAAAGUGGCAUGGGAUAAUUUUUUUUUGGUCCUUGAGAUAAUGGGCUAUUUAUUGUUUGGUCCUUAAACCUCAACUAUAAAUAGGCCUUCUCAUUUCUCAUUUCAAUUCAUCCCAACCAAUCUUUCUCUCUUAGUUUUCUCUCUUCUCCCAUUUGAGAAUUCUUAAGGAAUUCUAUUUGUUUGUAAUACUUUGGAGAUAGUAAAGUUAUCAUCUGGUGUUAGUGCCCGAGGACGUAGGUAUAAUUUACCGAACCUCGUUAAAACUCUUGUGUUCUUUCUUGUCCUAUUUUUCUUUCAAUAUUUGAGGGUAUAAUAGUAGUAUUUAAUUGUGCUAUUAAAUUACUAUAGAAGGGAUAUUCUGUCUAAGGAAAGACUUGGUAUUUAAGAGAUCCAUGUGAUCCACCUCUCUUCCCUGGGAAUUGAACUUUGUGUGAUUUUUUAGUACAAUAAUUUACACGCUUCCGACCCUAUUGGAACAACAAGUGGUAUCAGAGCCUAAGGUUAAUCGUAGUAUGCUCUGUGGUUGCAGUUUAAACUGAUCUUCCACAUCAGAAAAGAUUUCCUUAGGUAUAUUGAAAGAUUAUGGAGAAAACGGUCGGUGUAGGAGCUUCAACAUCGUCCAUGUAGACAAGACCGACAAUUGCAAAUGCAAGAUUGGCCGUGGAGAUCUUUGAUGGCACGGGCCAUUUUGGUAUGUGGCAAAGUGAGGUUCUAGAUGCCCUUUUUCAGCAGGGUCUAGACAUUGCCAUUGAUGAAGAGAAACCAGAUGAUGUACAGGAGAAAGAUUGGAAGGCGAUCAAUCGGUUGGCAUGUGGCACAAUUCGAUCAUGCCUUUCUCGAGAGCAGAGGUAUGCUUUUUCAAAGGAGACUUCUGCAAAUAAGUUGUGGGUGGCACUUGAAGAAAAAUUUUUGAAGAAAAACAGUCAAAAUAAGCUCCACUUGAAGAAAAGACUGUUUCGCUUCACAUACGUCCCAAGUACCACAAUGAAUGAUCACAUCACCAAAUUUAAUCAGUUAGUCACUGAUUUACUGAAUAUGGAUGAGACAUUCAAAGAUGAAGAUUUGGCUUUGAUGCUGUUGGGGUCACUUCCUGAGGAGUUUGAGUUCCUAGAAACUACUCUACUUCAUGGCAGGAGUGAUAUAUCUCUGAGCGAAGUCUGUGCGGCCUUAUACAGUUAUGAACAGAGAAAGAAGGACAAACAUAAAAACUCAAUCAGAGAUACAGAAGUUUUAGUAGUCCGAGGUCGUUCAUACACUCGGAAGAAAACUCAAAAGGGGAGAUCAAAGUCAAAGUUCAGACUCGGGAAAGAUGAAUGUGCUUUUUGUCAUGAGAAAGGCCACUGGAAGAAAAAUUGUCCAAAGCUGAAGAAUAAGGGAAAAGCUGCUGUAGAUGCUUGUGUUGUAAAGCAUGAUACCAGUGACUCUAAACUAUCACUGGUUGCAUCAUCAUCGUUGUUCCAUUCAGAUGAGUGGAUAUUGGAUUCGGGUUGUACCUAUCAUAUGUCCCCUAACCGGGAGUGGUUCUCUGAUUUAGUAGAACUAAAUGGAGGAGUUGUUUAUAUGGGCAAUGACAAUGCCUGUAAAACUGUUGGGAUAGGUUCAAUCCAAUUAAAGAAUAAAGAUGGAUCAACCAGAGUUCUGACUAAUGUUCGGUACGUGCCCAGUUUGAAGAAAAAUCUCAUCUCAUUGGGAGCCUUGGAAUCCAAUGGUUCAGUUGUUACUAUGAGAGAUGUGAUUUUGAAAGUGACAUCUGGCGCACUUGUGAUAUUGAAGGGCAUCAGAAAAAAUAACUUGUAUUACUACCAAGGUAGUACAGUUAUUGGAGCAGUCUCUGCAGCUUCCGGCAACAAAGAAUUGGACUCAAUACAGUUGUGGCAUAUGAAGUUGAGACAUGCCAGCGAAAAAUCCUUGCAAAUUCUGGCAAAGCAAGGAUUGUUGAAAGGUGCAAAGGCUUGCAAAUUAAAAUUUUGCGAGCAUUGUGUUCUGGGAAAGCAAAAAAGAGUGAAAUUCGGUACUGCUAUCCAUAAUAAAAAUGGUAUUUUGGAAUACGUUCACUCAGAUGUGUGGGGGCCUUCCAAGACACCUUCAUUGGGAGGAAAACACUACUUUGUUACUUUUGUUGAUGACUUUUCCAGAAGAGUUUGGGUGUAUACCAUGAGAACUAAGGAUGAAGUGCUUAGAGUUUUUCUUAAAUGGAAAACUAUGAUCGAAAACCAGACUGGCAAGAAAAUCAAGUGGCUUAGGACGGACAAUGGAGGGGAAUAUAAAAGUGAUCCGUUCUUCGAUGUGUGCCAAGAGUAUGGUAUUGUUCGACACUUCACAGUUAGGGAUACACCACAGCAGAAUGGAUUGGCAGAGCGUAUGAAUCGAACAUUGCUGGAGAAAGUUCGAUGUAUGUUGUCCAAUGCUGGGUUGGGCAAGCAAUUUUGGGCUGAGGCUGUGACAUACGCUGGCCAUCUUGUUAAUCGUUUGCCAUCAUCUGCAUUAGAAAGAAAAACUUCUAUGGAGGUAUGGUCUGGAAAACCGGCUACAGAUUAUGAUUCCUUACAUGUGUUUGGAACCACUGCAUAUUACCAUGUGAAGGAGUCAAAGUUAGAUCCGAGGGCAAAGAAAGCUCUCUUUAUGGGAAUCACUUCUGGAGUGAAGGGAUUUCGACUUUGGUGCUUAAGCAUAAAGAAAAUGAUCUGUAGCAGAGAUGUUACCUUUGAUGAAUCUGCCACAUUGAAAAAGGUAGCAGAUAAAGAUAUUCAGAUGAGCAAUACUCCACAGCAGGUAGAGUGUACUCCAAAACAGGUGGAGUUUGAGCAGAUGGGGAUUUGCCCAGUUAAUAAGUCUAAUUCUCCAGCCACAAUGGAGGAAUUAGAGGUUGAAAAGGUUCUGACCCAAGAACCACUAAGUACACCAGAACCAGUUGCAGUUGCAAGGCCACGGAGAGAAAUUUGUAAACCUACUCGAUUUACUGAUAUGGUGGCCUACGCCCUUCCCGUUGUUGAUGAUAUUCCUAUCACUUAUCAAGAAGCAAUGCAAAGCUUAGAAAGUGAUAAAUGGAAAAGCGCCAUGGAUGAAGAAAUGCAGUCUCUCCGGAAGAACAAUACUUGGGAGUUGGCGCAAUUACCGAAAGGUAAAAGGGCAAUCGGAUGCAAGUGGGUAUUCGCAAAGAAAGAUGGAUCUCCUAGCAAGAAGGAUAUUCGCUACAAGGCAAGAUUGGUAGCUAAAGGCUACGCUCAGAAAGAGGGAAUUGACUACAAUGAUGUAUUUUCCCCUGUUGUGAAGCAUUCUUCCAUUAGAAUUUUGUUGGCCUUGGUAACACAGUUGAAUUUGGAGCUAGCUCAACUUGAUGUUAAGACGGCUUUCUUGCAUGGUGAGUUAGAAGAGGAGAUCUAUAUGACUCAGCCAGAAGGAUACACAGAUACUGGUGGUAGAAAUUGGGUUUGUAAGCUUAACAAAUCGCUAUUUGGAUUGAAGCAAUCCCCGAGGCAGUGGUACAAGCGAUUUGAUAGCUUUAUGAGAAGGCAGAAGUACACAAGAAACAAAUAUGACAAUUGUGUAUAUUUGCAGAAGUUGCAUGACGGAUCUUUCAUUUAUCUACUCUUGUAUGUUGAUGAUAUGUUAAUCACUUCGAAGAGCCAAAAUGAGAUAGAUAAGCUGAAGGCUCAGUUGAAUCAAGAGUUCGAGAUGAAAGAUCUAGGUGAGGCCAAGAAGAUUCUCGGCAUGGAGAUAAGUAGAGAUAGACCGAGAGGCAAGCUCUGUUUAAAUCAGAAACAAUAUCUGAAAAAGGUAUUACAAUGUUUUGGUGUAAAUGAAAACACAAAACAUGUAAGUACCCCACUUGCUUCUCAUUUGAAACUUAGUGCUCAAUUAUCUCCGAAGACUGAAGAUGAAAGAGAAUAUAUGGUGAAAGUCCCAUAUGCUAAUGCAGUUGGGAGUUUGAUGUAUGCGAUGGUGUGUACGAGGCCUGACAUUUCACAAGCUGUUGGAGUUGUGAGCAGGUAUAUGCAUGAUCCUGGAAAAGGACAUUGGCAAGCUGUGAAAUGGAUUCUACGGUAUCUUCGAAAAACCGUAGAUGUUGGUUUAAUUUUUGAACAGGAUGAAGCACUUGGUCAGUUUGUAGUUGGAUAUGUUGAUUCCGACUUUGCUGGUGAUUUAGAUAAACGUCGUUCAACUACGAGGUAUCUGUUUACUCUUGCGAAAGCCCCAGUGAGUUGGAAGUCUACCUUACAGUCUACAGUAGCUAUGUCUACUACAGAUGCAGAAUAUAUGGCAGUUACAGAAGCUGUUAAGGAGGCUAUUUGGCUUAAUGGAUUGUUGAAAGACUUAGGAGUUGUUCAAAGUCACAUAAGUUUAUAUUGUGACAGUCAGAGCGCUAUUCAUUUAGCGAAAAAUCAAGUCUAUCAUUCAAGAACCAAGCAUAUCGACGUAAGAUAUCACUUUGUGCGGGAAGUCUUUGAAAAAGGAAAAAUUCUACUUCAGAAGAUUCCGACAGCAAAUAAUCCCGCAGAUAUGAUGACCAAGGUGGUAACAACAAUCAAGUUUAAUCAUUGUUUGAACUUGAUUAACAUCCUGAGAAUUUGAGCACCUUUAGGUGUAUGGCGCUCGAGAGUGCAUUUGUAGGCACUACAAAAGAUAGCUUUAUCGAAUUUGGGGGGUUGAAGGAAGUGUGUGAAGAUGUGAUUAUCCUAAUCAAAUCUUCAAGGUGGAGAUUGUUAACGUUAAUGGGAGACAACAUUAAUGGCAAACAAUACAAAGUGGUGCAAGUUUAGCACCCUAAAGUUGACUUUGAAAAAGUGGCAUGGGAUAAUUUUUUUUUGGUCCUUGAGAUAAUGGGCUAUUUAUUGUUUGGUCCUUAAACCUCAACUAUAAAUAGGCCUUCUCAUUUCUCAUUUCAAUUCAUCCCAACCAAUCUUUCUCUCUUAGUUUUCUCUCUUCUCCCAUUUGAGAAUUCUUAAGGAAUUCUAUUUGUUUGUAAUACUUUGGAGAUAGUAAAGUUAUCAUCUGGUGUUAGUGCCCGAGGACGUAGGUAUAAUUUACCGAACCUCGUUAAAACUCUUUUGUUCUUUCUUGUCCUAUUUUUCUUUCAAUAUUUGAGGGUAUAAUAGUAGUAUUUAAUUGUGCUAUUAAAUUACUAUAGAAGGGAUAUUCUGUCUAAGGAAAGACUUGGUAUUUAAGAGAUCCAUGUGAUCCACCUCUCUUCCCUGGGAAUUGAACUUUGUGUGAUUUUUUAGUACAAUAAUUUACACGCUUCCGACCCUAUUGGAACAACAAUUUUUUGAAUCGGAUUGAAAAAGAUCGGCUCUUAAGGAAUUAUCUAAUGCGUCUUUUGAGUUAAAGAAUGAAGAUGGGACUAAAGGUCCAAUACCAACUGUCUUGAACUUUUCAAUGGCGUUUAAUGCUUCGUGUUCCAAAGCAUCGAAGGUGUUAAUAAGGAUUUUAGCGUUGGGUUCUUCUGCGAGGACGUCCAUUUGUUCUUGGAACAACGACAGUGCCGACUGGUAAACGGUUGAAGCGAUGACGAACGAUGGAAGGUCGCGGGUGAAGAGUGGCGGCAGACCUGGUAAUUUUAUCGAACACUUGGGGUUUGUUUCAUCAGCUUGAGCUUUAAUGGCGGAUUCGUAUCCGUUGAAGUAAAAAUAAUAGAUGUCGAAAACGGUGGCGGGUUGAAUCCAGAGUAAAGCUGACGGGAUGUGAUGUUUACACGCCACCUCCGCAGCCCAAUGAAGGAGUAAAGAGUAGACAAUGCAAGUAAUGGGUUUACCUUCGUUUUCACUACUUGUUAUAAACUCAGAGAUGGCAUCUUUGCCUCGUCGCUAAAAUUCAGACAAGUAAUGGUCUGUGUCAUCGCCGGGUUUAAUUCCGUCAUCGUAGCCAUCUGAAAAAGGUAAAAACGAUAGGCCUUCAGCGGUGGGGACUUUGGUCAUGCGGCGGCUGGCGGAGAUGCUGGUGAUGUAAGUUACACGUACGCCGAUACGAAUAAGAUGCUUGGCGAAUUGUAAGGUCGGGUUUAUGUGGCCUUGUGCAGGAUAGGUCAAUACGAUGAAAUGAGGUUGUGGCAUGAUGGUGACGGCGGCGCGUGGGUAGUGAAUUAUCCUUUCUCUUUUUACUAAUUUGGAGUAAUUCGUGAAGAAAAUUAAUGGGUUUUUAUAGUGAUGAGAGGAAUUCAUAAAAGGUGGCGUUUGAGCUGACGAAUUUCAUAGAUUCCUAAACCUUUUUGGAUUUAUCUGGUGUUUUUUUAAAGCUUAGGUUGCAGCUUGAUGCAUGAUGCUGUCAGAGACAGUUUCAGACUACACGAGUCUUGGGGGUUUGAACUUGAUUCACCAAUUAUAAUUUAGGUUAAACUAAACCCCAACACUAAACUAGUAAGUUUAUAUUUGGUUAAACUACCUACCAAGUUAUCCAUCUAUGCGUAAACUUUUUUUUUACUCACUCAAUUUUUAAAACUUUCGAAAUGGUCACUCAAUUAAUUGAGUUCGAUAUUUUUGAUCCAUAUCCCUUAAGCAUUGUUAAAUGCCUUAUCUUUGCAUAUCUGGUAGAUUAGGUAUUUGUAAAGUUGAGGGUUAAUUUUUAAAAAUUAUGAUUAGAUUGACAUAAAAUAUAAAUUUUGAUGGCUAAAUUUGUUAUUAUACUAAUUUUAAAGUGUUACCUCAACCUCGUGUCAAGCCCUUAACUGAAAUGGACCAAAAAAUAAAUUUGAUUAGUUAGGUGACAAUUUGAAAGUUUUAAAAGUUGAGUGAAAAAAAAAAGAAACUUAAACAUAUUUGAGUGGCUUGCAAUGUAGUUUAGCUUUUAUAUUUUGAUUACUCAACUUUAAAAUUUUACAAAAUGGCCACUGAGCUAUUUGAAAGUUUUCAUUUAAGUAACUAAAUUAUUCGAAGUUUUUAUUUAAGUCACUAGGCUGUUAAAUAUUUUUUUUAAGUCCGGCUAGCAAGCUCUAAGUAGGGGUGAUAUCAGUUCGGUUUGGUUGAGUUUUUUGAGUUUUUCAAUUCUUUUGAAUUGUCCAUCAUAAUUCGGUUUGGCUCGGUUUAGUUUUUCUAUAUUAAUUUUUUAUUUUGAUUUUUUAAAUUUAUUUUGAUAAAAUGAGCUUUGUUUUAUGACUUUUGAAUAUUAUUUGACAAAAUUUCAAGGCUUUUUUAUAAAUAUUUCUAAAAUACACUAAUCUUUUAAAAACUUUUAAAUAAUUUACACUAUUUUAAAUAUAAAAUAUUUAUUUUUAUAUCAUAAAAAAUAAAAUGAAUUAUAUAUUAAAUAAAAAACACAAUUCAGUUUAGUUUCAUGUAACUGCAAUUUUUAAACUUGCAUUCCAUAAAUCGUCUAAAUACCUCGAUUUGGGUCAAUUUUCGAUUUGGUUAGUUUAUUUGCACAACCUUAGCUCUAAGCGACUAUUCGACGAUUGAUACAGUGAAUUAGUACACAUUGAUAAGUAAAAAAAACAUACUUUAAAUCAAAAUUUAUCUAGCGGUUAGUGUCAGAGAUCGAAGAAGAAAGUUGUUUAAAUUUUGAUUUGCAAAUUUGUGGCGUUCAAAACUGUUUCAUGAAAAAAAAUUGAAAUAUGGAAAAGAAGAGAAAAGAGAUCUUUCGGUUGGUGCAGGCAUUGCAAGCGGAGAAGGCCAUACAAUAACAGUUUUAAUAAUCCAUCAAAUUAAAUGAAAAUUUUUAAAUAGUUUAAUGACCAUUUUAUAGUUUUUUUAAGCUAAUUGAUCAAAACAUAAAUUUACUAAUAAUUUAGCAACCUUGAAUGUAGUUUACUCAAAUUAUUAAUAAUGAUGAUUUUUUUUAUGGAAUUUUGAUUGAAUUUUAUUAAUUAAUUUUAAAAAAAUUAUAAAUCCAAGUAACUUUAGUGAGAAUCUACUCUUUUUUGAUACAAUGCUUAGAACUACCCAUAACCCUCCCCACCUUUAAAUAGGAGAACAAACUAGAACUCACAUCCUCCUACACUGACAACAAUGCCGAUGCUAAUCAAAUUAAGACUCAAUUGACAACUACAUCAACUUUUAAUUAUUCAUAUUACGUGAAAGCAAUUUUUGGUGAAAGUUAUAGUGAAAGUUAUCAUAUUGGUGAUUAGGUGUGAUUGACCAUAGAGUUAUAAUUAUUAUAGUACCAAGAAAAGUUAACCGAGUUGAUUAGGGUGUGAGAUGAAUAAAUUAAUUUUUCAAAAUUUUAAUAGUAAGAAUGGAAGAAUAUUUUUUAAAUUAAGAUUAAUUUAUCCAUUUUUUAGUAAAGAGAAUAAAAUUUAUAACUAUAAUUGUAAAUUUUAAGUUUUGGUCCUUCUAUUACGGUUACAUUUAAGAUUUAAUUUUUUAAAGUAAGAUUUAAUCUUUAUAAUUAAAUUUCGCAUAAUUUGAUUGUCUAUUUUUACAAAAUGAUAUCAGGUAGUUGAAAUAAUUAACAUGCUUUUAACUAUUCUAAUUAAUUUUUUUAUUUUUUAUAAAAAUAUUAUUCUAUAAAAAAUAGCUUUUACAUAAUGAAUCAGAAUAAAUGUUAUUAAAAAUAUUCACAUCAACUACUAAAAAUAUUAAGGGUGCUAAUUAUUUGGGCUAACUAAUGAUACGACCUUUUUUCCAGUCAUUAUAGGAUAAUGAUAAAAUUGUAAUUUUUAUCUCUCUAUUAUGCUCGCAUUUGAGAUUUAAUAUUUAUAUUUUAAUUUGACAUAGUUUGAUUCUCUACUUUUAUAAUGACAUCAAUUAUCCUAAAUAAUUAACAUUUUUAACUAUAUCGAUUAGAAUGAUUACAUGAAUAUCUCAUAAAAACACCUUUCAAUACAAUAUAUAUAUUUCUCCAUAAAGUUCGAAUGGGUAUUUUUUAGGAAAAAUUGACCUCAACAUUUUGACCAGAAUAAUUAAAGGUAACAACUAUUUCAACUAACUAAUAUUAUUAUGUAGAGGAACCAAAUUAUAUAAAAUUAAAGAAUAGAUAUUAAAUUUUAUAUUUAAACAUAGUAGAGAGACCAUAAUCAUAAUUUAAUCUAAAACAAAUUAUCCUUAAUACAAUAUGAAGAUAUUGACUAUAAAAAAUUAAAAUUUCAUUCGAUUCCUAAAAAAUUAUUCUAACUUCAUCCUUUCCUAUUAUAAUUUUCAAACUUUACGUUACAUUGUUUUCUUAAAUAUUGGGUAUAUUAUAAUAUAUAUAUUCGGCUUUUAAUUUGUCACAAAUAAAUUUUUUAACUUUGUUAUUAAUAAUAAAAAUGGAUAGUUUUAAAAAAAUUAAUUUAUCUUGAGUGUGACAACGUGAUGAAAGUUUGUCCACACAAAAUCCGAAAGGAUUUCAAGGAUCUUCAACUUCGUCAGCCCAAACGUCACCUUUUUUCAGUGCCUCCCAUCACUUACAAAAACGCUUUGAUUUCCUUUCUUAGUUACUCCAAAUCCGACGUUCGUAGAGAAAGACCAAGUGAACUACCUACGAGCCGCCAUCACCACCAUGUCACAGCCUCAUUUCCUCCUAGUGGCCUCCCCUGCACAAGGCCACAUAAACCCAACCUUACAAUUUGCCAAGCAUCUUAUACGUAUUGGCGUACGUGUAACUUUCAUCACCUGCAUCUCCGCUCGCAGCCGCAUGACCAAAGUCCCCACUGCUCAAGGCCUAACGUUUUUACCCUUUUCCGAUGGCUACGACGACGGUUUUCAACUCCGCGAUGACAUCGACCAUUACCUAUCUGAAUUGAGGCGACGAGGCAAAGAAGCUAUCUCCGAGUUUUUAACAAGCAGUGAAAACGAAGGCAAACCCGUCACUUGCAUUGUCUACAGCCUGUUCAACCAUUGGGCCACGGAGGUGGCGCGUAAACAUCACAUCCCGACAACUUUACUUUGGAUUCAACCCGCCACCGUUUUUGACAUCUAUUAUUUUUACUUCAACGGAUACGAAUCCACCAUUAAAGCUCAAGCUGAUGAAACAAACCCCAAGCGUUCAAUAAAAUUACCAGGUCUGCCGCUACUCGCUACCCGCGACCUUCCGUCGUUCGUAACCGCUUCAAACGUUUACCGUUGGGGACCGUCGUUGAUCCAAGAACAAAUGGACAUCCUCGCUGAUGAAUCCAACCCCAAAAUCCUUGUUAACACCUUCGAUGCUUUGGAACAAGAAGCAUUAAACGCCAUUGAAAAUUUCAACAUGAUCGGCAUCGGACCUUUAAUCCCAUCUUCUUUCUUGAACUCAAGUGACUCCUUGGAUAAUUCCUUGAGAACCGAUCUUUUUCAACCCGAUUCAAAAGAUUACCUCCAAUGGUUAGACUCCAAACCAAAAUCGGCUGUCGUUUACGUUUCCUUCGGGAGCAUUACGGUGUUAACGAAGCAACAAGUGGAGGAAAUCGCUCGAGCUUUAAUAUCCAGCCGGCGACCUUUUUUAUGGGUGGUGAGGAACCGGAA
rnacentral:lncRNA from 1 species